UAACUGAAGAUUAACUUUCACACAACUUUUCACCAUCUGUUUUAAGAGGGGAAAUUAAAUUUAUACAUUCAUAAAAGAUACUGAGCAUAAUUUAAACUCUGUAAAGUCACCACGAGCAUCCUUUAGAUACAUACUCUCACCUAGCACACACUGGCCUCAGUGGCUGCCUCAACAUAUCAGUGCACCGAGAAGACAGGAUUCUUGUUCUCACGGGUCCAGCGCUGCUCUGAUUUGUGUAAUUACCUUGAGCUCUGAUAGAUGAUCUCACAGACUGACAGAGACUUGGGGCUCCUUGGGACCCUGUAGGACUAGGAACUGCAUGUGAGUCCAUCCCUCAGGCUGUCCCAAGAAUUCUUGUCCUCUCUGGCUGAUCUUUCAUGUUGGGGGGGGGGGUGAAGUGACUUUAUUUCUGGCAAAUAUAUUGGCUGUGCAGCUUGUUAGGAGAUUCUUAAGUGUGCUUAUAGUCAUUGAAGUGAGACUUUUUUUUUUGGCCUGAGUAUUAGGUCUCAAAUGCAGCUAAGAAGAUGAUUUGUUUUUGUCAAGUUGAAAAUUAUUUGAGCAACUAAUUAGAUCAAGUAACGUUACCCUCUUUUUACAUUUUUUUGGUAAGGAGGAUAUAAUAUUAGAUCAUGUAUAUUCUGGUAAUGAGCUGAGUUUUUUGUCUUUGUUUCUGCAGAGUGUCAUGGAAAACAGUGACAGGUGUGCCUUGUCGUCUCCAUCUGUAGCCUUCACACCACCCAUCAAAACCUUAGGGACACCAGCCCAACCUGGAAGUACUCCUGGAAUUUCCACCAUGAGGCCUCUUGCCACAGCGUACAAAGCAUCGACCAGUGACUAUCAGGUUAUUUCUGAUAGACAGACACCAAAAAAAGAUGACAGCAUCGUGUCCAGAGCAAUGGAGUACAUGUUUGGCUGGUAGCGUGAUGAAAACUAAGACUCAAGCCCCGUGGAGACGACUGUGCCCUGAACAGUGAGCAGAGGCCCCGCCACCGGCUUCCCCAAUUGCGUGACACGCUGGGCAGCACUGGGCCGCUAGCUCAUCUUUCCUGUCGGAGGUUUUCUCCUUAAAGUAUACACAGCACAUUGGGAGCUUGCGUUUUAAAAGAUGCGAAGAAACAAAACAUGCCUGUUAGUAGAAUUUUGUGUUUUCUGUAAUAGUUGCACAUGCUAGCGGACAGGAAAACUAAGGAUUGGUGAUUGCCCACUAACUGCAGGACACUUUAUGGUGUGACUGUGUCUGCUUCAUGAAUUGGUGGGGAGGACUCCCUGGAGGACAGCUUACCAGCUGCUCCUGACAAGAUGCAGAUCAUAAGUAACAGUUUGCAUCAUGGUGUUUUAAUUUAGGUAGUAUUUAAUAUUUUAAUUAUCCUUCUUUGUAUAUGUCUUGUCUUAGAUCGUCAUCUUUCCAUAUUCUAAAGCCAAAAAUUCUUUUUAAAAUCAAACUAACAUUUCUUAAUAAUAAACUUUGCCUCUUCUAUGAAUUGAA